rnacentral:rRNA from 2 species
AACUUUCAACAACGGAUCUCUUGGCUCUUGCAUCGAUGAAGAACGCAGCAAAAUGUGAUACAUAAUGUGAAUUGCAGAAUUCAGUGAAUCAUCGAAUCUUUGAAUGCACCUUGCACCCCUUGGUAUUCCAAGGGGUGCACCCAUUUGAGUGUCGUGA